rnacentral:rRNA from 1 species
GAUGAGCCAGAAUUGUGACCUUAAGUCACUAAUGAUUUUUAACUGAAGAGUUUGAUCAUGGCUCAGAUUGAACGCUGGCGGCAGGCUUAACACAUGCAAGUCGAGCGGGGGAGAUUGCUUCGGUAAUUGACCUAGCGGCGGACGGGUGAGUAAUACUUAGGAAUCUGCCUAUUAAUGGGGGACAACAUCUCGAAAGGGAUGCUAAUACCGCAUACGCCCUACGGGGGAAAGCAGGGGAUCACUUGUGACCUUGCGUUAAUAGAUGAGCCUAAGUCGGAUUAGCUAGUUGGUGGGGUAAAGGCCUACCAAGGCGACGAUCUGUAGCGGGUCUGAGAGGAUGAUCCGCCGCACUGAGCCUGAGACACGGCUAAGCCUACUACGGGAGGAAGCAGUGGGGAAUAUUGUACAACGGGGGGAACCCUGAUCCAGCAAGGCCGUGUGUGUGAAGAAGGCCUUAUGGUUGUAAAGCACUUUAAGCGAGGAGGAGGCUCUCUUGGUUAAUACCCAAGAUGAGUGGACGUUACUCGCAGAAUAAGCACCGGCUAACUCUGUGCCAGCAGCCGCGGUAAUACAGAGGGUGCGAGCGUUAAUCGGAUUUACUGGGCGUAAAGCGUGCGUAGGCGGCUUUUUAAGUCGGAUGUGAAAUCCCCGAGCUUAACUUGGGAAUUGCAUUCGAUACUGGGAAGCUAGAGUAUGGGAGAGGAUGGUAGAAUUCCAGGUGUAGCGGUGAAAUGCGUAGAGAUCUGGAGGAAUACCGAUGGCGAAGGCAGCCAUCUGGCCUAAUACUGACGCUGAGGUACGAAAGCAUGGGGAGCAAACAGGAUUAGAUACCCUGGUAGUCCAUGCCGUAAACGAUGUCUACUAGCCGUUGGGGCCUUUGAGGCUUUAGUGGCGCAGCUAACGCGAUAAGUAGACCGCCUGGGGAGUACGGUCGCAAGACUAAAACUCAAAUGAAUUGACGGGGGCCCGCACAAGCGGUGGAGCAUGUGGUUUAAUUCGAUGCAACGCGAAGAACCUUACCUGGUCUUGACAUAGUAAGAACUUUCCAGAGAUGGAUUGGUGCCUUCGGGAACUUACAUACAGGUGCUGCAUGGCUGUCGUCAGCUCGUGUCGUGAGAUGUUGGGUUAAGUCCCGCAACGAGCGCAACCCUUUUCCUUAUUUGCCAGCACUUCGGGUGGGAACUUUAAGGAUACUGCCAGUGACAAACUGGAGGAAGGCGGGGACGACGUCAAGUCAUCAUGGCCCUUACGACCAGGGCUACACACGUGCUACAAUGGUCGGUACAAAGGGUUGCUACCUAGCGAUAGGAUGCUAAUCUCAAAAAGCCGAUCGUAGUCCGGAUUGGAGUCUGCAACUCGACUCCAUGAAGUCGGAAUCGCUAGUAAUCGCGGAUCAGAAUGCCGCGGUGAAUACGUUCCCGGGCCUUGUACACACCGCCCGUCACACCAUGGGAGUUUGUUGCACCAGAAGUAGGUAGUCUAACCGUAAGGAGGACGCUUACCACGGUGUGGCCGAUGACUGGGGUGAAGUCGUAACAAGGUAGCCGUAGGGGAACCUGCGGCUGGAUCACCUCCUUAA